rnacentral:ncRNA from 2 species
GAUUUAUACAGAAGAGGCGAGAGACAGGCUCAUUGACCCUCUGGCAACCUGGAAAAUCCAAGGUGCCAAUUCCUGCCGGUAGAUAAUAUUGUCUCCCGGACAUAUAAAUU